UGCAUCUGAGGCCAGUGAGGAUGAGAACCUCCGGGGGCAGGAGGUUCGACUCGAGCGAAGCGAGAGAACGUUGCGUCAGCAACGGCCCGUAGGGCGAGCCACGAAGUGGUGAGUC
rnacentral:sRNA from 1 species